rnacentral:misc_RNA from 1 species
AAGUCGUAACAAGGUCUCCGUUGGUGAACCAGCGGAGGGAUCAUUACCGAGUUUACAACUCCCAAACCCCUGUGAACAUACCUACGUUGCUUCGGCGGACCACCCCAACCCCCUCGGGGCGAGGGGCCGCCAGAGGACCCAAAACCCAACUGUUUUUUUCCGUAACGAAACCUAUUCUGAGUGGAAUUAUUAAAUAAAUCAAAACUUUCAACAACGGAUCUCUUGGCUCUG